rnacentral:lncRNA from 1 species
UGCGCUCAACAGCUGUGUUUUCCUCUGCAAACUUUAUUUUUUUAUUUUUUUUUUGAAAGGCCGGCCUAUGCGCUCGGUUGGUGCUUAUUUUCAGGUGGAAAAGAUAGAGCUGCUUUACAGAACUAUUCAGGCCCCGCCAGGUUCUCCCCUGCUUAUAAACUGUUCCCGGGUCCUUCACGCAGCCGCGCAGAACGAGCUGCUCUGCAAAUGCCAAGCGCCGAUGCCAAAGGGCCGUGUCAACAAAGAAGAAUGAGU